rnacentral:rRNA from 1 species
GAGGAAUAUUGGUCAAUGGACGAGAGUCUGAACCAGCCAAGUAGCGUGAAGGAUGACUGCCCUAUGGGUUGUAAACUUCUUUUAUACGGGAAUAAAGUGAGGCACGUGUGCCUUUUUGUAUGUACCGUAUGAAUAAGGAUCGGCUAACUCCGUGCCAGCAGCCGCGGUAAUACGGAGGAUCCGAGCGUUAUCCGGAUUUAUUGGGUUUAAAGGGAGCGUAGGCGGACGCUUAAGUCAGUUGUGAAAGUUUGCGGCUCAACCGUAAAAUUGCAGUUGAUACUGGGUGUCUUGAGUACAGUAGAGGCAGGCGGAAUUCGUGGUGUAGCGGUGAAAUGCUUAGAUAUCACGAAGAACUCCGAUUGCGAAGGCAGCUUGCUGGACUGUAACUGACGCUGAUGCUCGAAAGUGUGGGUAUCAAACAGGAUUAGAUACCCUGGUAGUCCACACAGUAAACGAUGAAUACUCGCUGUUUGCGAUAUACAGUAAGCGGCCAAGCGAAAGCGUUAAGUAUUCCACCUGGGGAGUACGCCGGCAACGGUGAAACUCAAAGGAAUUGACGGGGGCCCGCACAAGCGGAGGAACAUGUGGUUUAAUUCGAUGAUACGCGAGGAACCUUACCCGGGCUUGAAUUGCAACUGAAUGAUGUGGAGACAUGUCAGCCGCAAGGCAGUUGUGAAGAUGCUGCAUGGUUGUCGUCAGCUCGUGCCGUGAGGUGUCGGCUUAAGUGCCAUAACGAGCGCAACCCUUAUCGAUAGUUACCAUCAGGUUAUGCUGGGGACUCUGUCGAGACUGCCGUCGUAAGAUGUGAGGAAGGUGGGGAUGACGUCAAAUCAGCACGGCCCUUACGUCCGGGGCUACACACGUGUUACAAUGGGGGGUACAGAAGGCAGCUACACGGCGACGUGAUGCUAAUCCCUAAAGCCUCUCUCAGUUCGGAUUGGAGUCUGCAACCCGACUCCAUGAAGCUGGAUUCGCUAGUAAUCGCGAAUCAGAAUGUCGCGGUGAAUACGUUCCCG